rnacentral:sRNA from 1 species
AAAGAUUGAGAGAGAGAAGAGAGA